GAGUGUGUCUGAGUUCUUCAACUCUAGUUUCACACCCACUGGCAAUGAUGGUAGAGUAAGGCUUAAUGAAGGACUCUCACUUAGUGAUUUCAGGGGACUAUACAGUGUUUUGCAUACAAGUUAUUUGAUAAGUUUUGAUGAUACUACUACUAGAAAAGGGGGAAAUGGUGUUUUUCUCCUUCCUGACUUGAGAAUUGCUGAUACAUAUACAUGUGUAGCUGGAAAUCAAUCUCAAUCUGUUUCAGUUGUUCUCAGAAGGCCCAGUGGAAUGUUCUCUCAAUUCUUUGUCAGAUUCACUGGCUCUGUUUUAGAUCCUAAUGUAGACAGUGUGGAUUAUGAAAUUGGAUACAUUGAAG